GUUUGGGGAGAUCUAAUCGCACCGUGUCGAGGGCUCGAGGCUAUCCGUGCGCGCUUCUCUGCCACGCCACCGCUCCGGCUGUACGCGGGCCGCCCCCGCUGCCGCUCUGGCUUUGUGCCUCUGCGCGGGCCGCCGCCGCUCCGGCUCUACGCGGGCCGCCACCCCUCGGCCGUGUGCCGCUGCGCGGGCCGCCGCCGCCUCAGGUGCGAGCCCCGGCUGCAACAAGGUCUGGGUGGCGCCGCCGGGCAAGAGCCACCACCCUCCUCACCGCUCGCCUCUGCCUCAACCGUCGCUUAAGCGGGGAUUAAGGUGGCGGUGGUCUACUACCUCUGCCGCAGCUGUUUGCCCGCAGAUGUGAUUGACCGGCUCAACGUGUUGAAAGGGAAGGGGAUGGCAACCAUGUACCCGUGGUACUGCAGGAGAGGUGCUACAAGAACAGCUUUGUGUGGCACGACAUCUCCGAGGAAGACCCUGGGCUCCCCGCGCAGGGGCAACGAGUACAUCCUCAAGGGUUCCAAGCUCCUCGAUUACAUGAACUGGACACAACUCAUGCAACUUUUUCAAAAUCUACGAGGCGAAGCCCAUAUUGGAGACGACAGAAUGGAGCUGAACGCUGUGACGCAUGAACGGAACGGGGUGCGCAGGAAUAAGGAUCACGUGGCUGCUUGAGAGGCCAGGAAAAUGGUUUAGUGGGGAUCCUCUAUUUAGGUCGUAGGAAGAAGGCGAUGGAAUCGAGAAGAAUCGUUAGGAUCCGAUGAAGUUGUGCAGCGGGAAGGAGAAAAGCACCCAAAGAUCAAUCAGGUGAGAUGAGUUCCCUAUCACUCCAUCCCUGUCUUGGUGAACUUGGCAACCGAACCAGGCUCAUCCUCUUCUGUGAAUAAAUUUUUAGUCUCAUCGAUCAGCCGUGAAUAGAAGCACUAGAUGGAAAAUGUUGCAAUUUGAAUUGUAUGAUUAGAACAACUGGGUGACUGCUUCAAGGGCAGCUGGCAGAGAGAUAGGUGGGAGGUAGGGGAUCAGAGUGUCGAAGUUCUACUUUUUUACAAUCUUGGUAUUAUUAUAAGGUUUGCCAUUUACAGUUGUUCCGAUUUUCAGCUGCAGCUUUUUUUUUACAGGUUUGCCAUUCAAAUACCUUUUUGUUUGUCCCAGGUUAUAUUAUUUUCCUAUCACGCCAUGUUCCCUUAUCAUUAUUCACAGUUUUUAGUUGCCUCCAAUAUAUUCUGCUCAGUGUACUAUGUAUUGCUGAUUCUGACAUUUCAAGAGGCGAGAGGUGUGACUAUACAGCUCUGGAGAGUAAUGAGAGCUGAUUGGGGUUUGCCAGAUUUGGAACAGUGCACUUCGAACUCAAGGGAGUGGAUUUUAAGCCUUUUUUCCAGUUUUUCUCAGGAACAAAAUGCGGUUAUAAUGAUGACCCUUUGGUGUAUUUGGCACGUUUACAAUGAUCUUACUAACAACAAACCUGCUCCUCCGACUGAAUCCUCGCGACCAUUCCUAAUUUGUGAUGUUAAAGGUAAGCAGGUGGUUAAUGUGUCUGGAUUUCAGAAGGGAAGACACAGGAACUGGGAAAAACCUGCCACUAAAGCAACCUGGCUCCAUCCUGUUCGUUCUGGACUUGAACUCGAUGUUGAUGGUUCUUUCUUCGAAGAUGGUUCGGCUGGGGCUGGUAUGGUCCUUCGCGACCGAGAUGGCAAGCCAAUUUUCAUGGUGUGUAGAUAUCUUUUCCAUUGUCCGGAUCCAUUAAGCACGGAGCUGGCUGCAUGGAGGAGGGCAUCCAUCUUGCCCAGACCUGGACGAGUCAGCCUUUCUCUGUGGAGAGUGACUUUGAUGAGGCCAUUUCUCUUAUUGAAGCUACUGACCGGAAUCUACAAAAAUCAGGUGUCGUCUAUCAGAGAACUCAUCUCGCUCAGACCAGGUGUUUGAGUAAGCAAGAUCACACGAGAUCAAAAUACUGUUGCUCAUCUUUUGGCAAACUCGCUUGGUGGCGACGUUUGGACUUGAUGCCUGUCGGACAGGUCAGCUUGAUGGAGUGGUGGUCUGGUCUCUCGCUUGGUGGCAGAAAGGUUUGCCGGGAUUUUGCUACGGGAAGCAUACUUAUCUGCUGGUGCCUUUGGCGACACAGAAAUGCGAUUGUCUUCGAGGGGGCAAGACCUUGUGUGUCACAGGUUGCGCACACUAUAGAACAGGAGGGCACCGUUUGGAUGAGUGCGGGGUUGUUCAAAGAUGAGAUCAUGAGUUCUUUUGUAAGUGCGGGUGAGUCGUGGACUGUAAGCGAGUAGUUCAUAACUCUAACGCCCUCGGAUAUGUAACCGCGUCGCGGAAAUUCUUUUGUAAAAUAAUUGUACUUCUUUUGGCAAACUGUGGUAGAAUUGAUAAUUACACUUCUUGCUGGCUUGUAGAAUUCCUCUCUUUUGUAAGUAAUGCCAUGAGAUACGAUUGUAACCAUGUUCUGAAUGAAUGAAAGUUUCUCCACCCGCAAAA